AACGUAGGACACAAGCGUUAUCCGGAGUUACUGGGCGUAAAGGGCGUGUAGGCGGAUUGAUAAGCCUAUUCUGAAAGCUCCUGGCUAAACUGGGAGAGGCGAAUGGAGACUGUCAGUCUAGAGUGAGGAAGAGGAAAGUGGAAUUCCGCGUGUAGUGGUGAAAUGCGUGGAGAUGUGGAGGAACACCGAUGGCGAAGGCAGCCCCCUGGGGUAACACUGACGCUCAUGCACGAAAGCGUGGGGAGCAAACAGG
rnacentral:rRNA from 1 species